UUUGAUAUUUUUAUUAAUGACUUGGACAAAGGCAUAAAUAAACAUUAAAGUGUAUUUAUUAAGUUUUCAGAUGACAGAGUGCUGCAAGGCAUACUUAACUCACUGGCUGAAAGAGAUAGGAUGUUAAGAUUAUAGACUCAGAUGAUGGGUUGAACGCAAUAAGAUUAAACUGAAUACAAAUGAAUGUAAAGACUAUACUUGGAUUCAAAAAUUCAACUUAAUCAAAAAAGAAAUGGAUAUUCAGCAGUUUGAGUUUUAAAAGAUCUAGAGUUUAUUUGUGAUCACUCAAUAGAAGUCAACUCAUUGUCCAAAAAGUCAACAAAAUUUAGUUUCCAAAAUAAGGAAGGUUGUGACAGUCCCAUAUAUUCAUUCUUUAUCAGACUACACCUGGAUUACUGCACUCAAGUUUCAGGCACCAUAUUCUAAGAAGAACAUUAACAAGCCUGAGUGUAGCCAGAAUAAAUUGUGAUGAAGAGGGUGAAGGUAUUAGAGAUCAUAUUAAGAUUAUUUUGACUAAUUGAAGAAACCGGGAAUGUUUAGUCUAGAGAAUAGAAGACUUAGGGCAUAAAAGAAAUCUUCAAAUACUUGAAGGAUUGAAAUAAAGAAGAGAUGUCAAAUUUGUUCUUCUUAGACAUGGAAGCAUGAUAAGGCACAGUUAGUAGAAGUUGCAGAAAGGCAUAUUGAGCCUUGAUGUAAGGGAAAACUUCCUACAAAUUAGAGCCAGUCAAAAAUAUAAUGGGUUUCCUCAGACUAUUCUGCCUCACUGCCUGACUUCAAGCAAAUAUCAGAUGAUGAUGUAUCUGCAUCGUUAUUUAUAGCAAAUAUUUUUAUUCAGGUUGCACUAGAUGGCAUCUGAAGUCUCUGCCAACUCUGAGAUUCUAGACAUCAUCAUCCUUGGGAAAUUAAUUUCUAAAGCCUUAAGACAAAGGCUAUGUUUUAAAGACAGGCCCCUAAGAUUUAGGGCUAGAAGGAGCAUUUUGUUGGUCAGCUAGAUCUAUCUUUUUCUACCCUACAAUUUUGCAAAUGAAGAAAGUGAUAAAACAUGAAAUAAAACUCAGAUCUCUAUCCUCCAUUUGACUAGAAGUUAAUUAGCAGAUUUGUGCAUCUCGGGUUAGUAUUAUUUAUGGACUACUAACAGGAAUGAUCAUCUGGACCUGCUCUCUCUUUCACAGAAGUCUCUGCCAACAUCUUCACAAGAUCUGGGCUUUCCCCUAGCAACAGAUGCACAUAUGUAAUCAGAAAUUUGGAUUUAGUUUCAUCUAAAGUGGACCUUUGUUCAAAAGAACAUUUUUUUAUUUGUCAAGGAGAUGUCUUUCGGAACCAUCCACAUGACAACCAUACAAGAGACGGAAAGGAUGCCCCAGUUAACCCAACAAUCAAGGGGAAAAAGUGGGAAAUCUCUAAGAUGAAAAAUGAGAUUGUCUCAGAUCAUCAUCUUUUAUCCAGAUGUCAGCAGAUCACUGACAUUUCUCAA